GACGAACGCUGGCGGCGUGCUUAACACAUGCAAGUCGAACGGAAAGGCCUCUUUCGGGGGGUACUCGAGUGGCGAACGGGUGAGUAACACGUGAGUAACCUGCCCUUGACUUUGGGAUAACUUCAGGAAACUGGGGCUAAUACCGGAUAGGAGCUCCUGCUGCAUGGUGGGGGUUGGAAAGUUUCGGCGGUUGGGGAUGGACUCGCGGCUUAUCAGCUUGUUGGUGGGGUAGUGGCUUACCAAGGCUUUGACGGGUAGCCGGCCUGAGAGGGUGACCGGCCACAUUGGGACUGAGAUACGGCCCAGACUCCUACGGGAGGCAGGAGUGGGGAAUAUUGCACAAUGGGUGGAAGCCUGAUGCAGCAACGCCGUGUGCGGGAUGACGGCCUUCGGGUUGUAAACCGCUUUCGCUCAUGACGAAGCUUUGUGUGACGGUAGUGGGUAAAGAAGCACCGGCUAACUACGUG
rnacentral:rRNA from 1 species